GGGGAUAACUACUGGAAACGGUAGCUAAUACCGCAUAACGUCGCAAGACCAAAGAGGGGGACCUUCGGGCCUCUUGCCAUCGGAUGUGCCCAGAUGGGAUUAGCUUGUUGGUGGGGUAACGGCUCACCAAGGCGACGAUCCCUAGCUGGUCUGAGAGGAUGACCAGCCACACUGGAACUGAGACACGGUCCAGACUCCUACGGGAGGCAGCAGUGGGGAAUAUUGCACAAUGGGCGCAAGCCUGAUGCAGCCAUGCCGCGUGUAUGAAGAAGGCCUUCGGGUUGUAAAGUACUUUCAGCGGGGAGGAAGGGAGUAAAGUUAAUACCUUUACUCAUUGACGUUACCCGCAGAAGAAGCACCGGCUAACUCCGUGCCAGCAGCCGCGGUAAUACGGAGGGCGCAAGCGUUAAUCGGAAUUACUGGGCGUAAAGCGCACACAGGCGGUUUGUUAAGUCAGAUGUGAAAUCCCCGGGCUCAACCUGGGAACUGCAUCUGAUACUGGCAAGCUUGAGUCUCGUAGAGGGGGGUAGAAUUCCAGGUGUAGCGGUGAAAUGCGUAGAGAUCUGGAGGAAUACCGGUGGCGAAGGCGGCCCCCUGGACGAAGACUGACGCUCAGGUGCGAAAGCGUGGGGAGCAAACAGGAUUAGAUACCCUGGUAGUCCACGCCGUAAACGAUGUCGACGUGGAGGUUGUGCCCUUGAGGCGUGGCUUCCGGAG
rnacentral:rRNA from 1 species